rnacentral:rRNA from 1 species
GAUGAACGCUGGCGGCGUGCCUAAUACAUGCAAGUCGAGCGAACGGACGAGAAGCUUGCUUCUCUGAUGUUAGCGGCGGACGGGUGAGUAACACGUGGAUAACCUACCUAUAAGACUGGGAUAACUUCGGGAAACCGGAGCUAAUACCGGAUGAUAUUUUGAACCGCAUGGUUCAAAAGUGAAAGACGGUCUUGCUGUCACUUAUAGAUGGAUCCGCGCUGCAUUAGCUAGUUGGUAAGGUAACGGCUUACCAAGGCAACGAUGCAUAGCCGACCUGAGAGAGUGAUCGGCCACACUGGAACUGGGACACGGUCCAGACUCCUACGGGAGGCAGCAGUAGGGAAUCGUCCGCAAUGGGCGGAAGCCUGACGGAGCAACGCCGCGUGAGUGAUGAAGGUCUUCGGAGCGUAAAGCUCUGUUACUAGGGAAGAACAUAUGUGUAAGUAGCUGUGCACAUCGUGACGGUACCUGAUCAGAAAGCCACGGCUAACUACGUG